GCCGCGAUCGCAUAAUCUGGUAUUGCGGCGGCCUUGAGAGCCGCUUUCCGCAAGGAUAUCCCGGUUCAAAUCCGGGUCGCGGCG
rnacentral:tRNA from 1 species